rnacentral:rRNA from 1 species
UCAAGCAAGAAAGAGCGCAGGGUGGAUGCCUUGGCACUAAGAGCCGAAGAAAGACGUGAUAAGCUGCGAAAAGCUGCGGGGAGGAGCAAAUAUCCAUUGACCCGCAGAUAUCUGAAUGGGGAAACCCGGCUGAGCAAACCUCAGUCAUCCAUACGCCAAUACAUAACGUAUGGAGGGGAACCCGGGGAACUGAAACAUCUAAGUACCCGGAGGAAGAGAAAGAAACAUCGAUUUCCUAAGUAGCGGCGAGCGAAAGGGAAAGAGCCUAAACCGGAGCGCGUGCGUUCCGGGGUCAUGGACUGCAUAAGUGAGUCAGAAGCUAGAAGAAAGGUUUUGGGAAAGCCUGCCAGAGAGAGUGAAAGCCUCGUAUUUGAAAGCGGAAGACAGCGGCAGUAUCCGGAGUACCACGAGACACGAGAAACCUUGUGGGAAGUCGGGGGGACCACCCCCCAAGGCUAAAUACUACUUAGUGACCGAUAGCGCAUAGUACUGUGAAGGAAAGGUGAAAAGAACCCCGGGAGGGGAGUGAAAGAGAACCUGAAACCCUGUGUCUACAAGCUGUGGAAGCACCCUACGAGUGCAACCGCGUACUUUUUGUAGAACGGUCCGGCGAGUUAUGUGGUGUGGCAAGGUUAAGCACGGAAAGUGUGGAGCCGAAGGGAAACCAAGUCUUAACUGGGCGGUUAAGUCACAUAACAUAGACCCGAAACCGGGUGAUCUAUCCAUGUCCAGGUUGAAGCUGCUGUAAAAGGUGGUGGAGGACCGAACGCACAUCCGUUGAAAAGGGUGGCGAUGAGGUGUGGAUAGGGGAGAAAUUCCAAUCGAACCCGGAGAUAGCUGGUUCUCCUCGAAAUAGCUUUAGGGCUAGCCUCGUUUUAGUCUUAUGGAGGUAGAGCACUGAAUUUCCGCGGGGGCGUCAAAGCUUACCAAAGAAUAUCAAACUCCGAAUGCCAUGUAGAUGAUGAACGGGAGUCAGACUGCACGAGAUAAGUUGGGCGGUCAAAAGGGAAAGAGCCCAGACCACCGGCUAAGGUCCCAAAGUGUGUGUUAAGUGGAAAAGGAUGUGGGAAUUCGAAGACAACUAGGAUGUUGGCUCAGAAGCAGCCAUACAUUCAAAGAGUGCGUAACAGCUCACUAGUCGAGAGUCCCUGCGCCGAAAAUGUCCGGGGCUGAAACACAACACCGAAGCCGUGGACUCCGUAAGGAGUGGUAGAGGAGCAUUCUUAAAACCGACGAAGCUGUACCGGUAAGGAGCAGUGGAGGGAUAAGAAGAGAGAAUGCCGGAAUGAGUAGCGAGAGGAAGGUGGGAAUCCUUCCGGCCGAAUAUCUAAGGUUUCCAGAGUAAAGCUGAUCUGCUCUGGGUAAGUCGGGGCCUAAGGAGAGGUCGCAAGACGUAUCCGAUGGACAACAGGUUUAGAUUCCUGUACCGCAUAUAAACAGAACUGUGGGGACGCAUGUGGAAAGCAUAAGCCGGGAAUGGAAAGACCGGUACAAGCGGGGUAGGUGUGUGACAGGCAAAUCCGUCAUAUAAGCCGAAGACGUGAUGUGGAGCGAAAUUUAGUAGUGAAGUAUGUGAGCCAUGUGCCGAGAAAAGCCGCUAUUGUUUUAUAUGUGCCCGUACCGUAAACCGACACAGGUGGAUGAGGAGAGAAUCCUAAGGCCGACGGAAGAAGCAUUGUUAAGGAAUUCGGCAAAAUGACCCCGUAACUUCGGGAGAAGGGGUGCCCACUGAAUGGUGGGCCGCAGAGAAUAGGCUCAAGCAACUGUUUAGCAAAAACACAGGUCUAUGCGAAACCGAAAGGUGAAGUAUAUGGGCUGACGCCUGCCCGGUGCUGGAAGGUUAAGAGGAGAGGUUAGCGCAAGCGAAGCUUUGAAUUUAAGCCCCAGUAAACGGCGGCCGUAACUAUAACGGUCCUAAGGUAGCGAAAUUCCUUGUCGGGUAAGUUC